GACGAACGCUGGCGGCGUGCUUAACACAUGCAAGUCGAACGGAAAGGCCCUGCGUUUGUGGGGUGCUCGAGUGGCGAACGGGUGAGUAACACGUGAGUAACCUGCCCCUGACUUUGGGAUAACUUCAGGAAACUGGGGCUAAUACCGGAUAGGAGCUCCUGCUGCAUGGUGGGGGUUGGAAAGUUUCGGCGGUUGGGGAUGGACUCGCGGCUUAUCAGCUUGUUGGUGGGGUAGUGGCUUACCAAGGCUUUGACGGGUAGCCGGCCUGAGAGGGUGACCGGCCACAUUGGGACUGCGAUACGGCCCAGACUCCUACGGGAGGCAGCGGUGGGGAAUAUUGCACAGUGGGCGGAAGCCUGAUGCAGCCACGCCGCGUGCGGGAUGACGGCCUUCGGGUUGUAAACCGCUUUCGCCUGUGACGAAGCGUGAGUGACGGUACUGGGUAAAGAAGCACCGGCUAACUACGUG
rnacentral:rRNA from 1 species